rnacentral:rRNA from 1 species
CUAUACAUGCAAGUCGAGCGGACCGAUGGGAGCUUGCUCCCUUAGGUCAGCGGCGGACGGGUGAGUAACACGUGGGUAACCUGCCUGUAAGACUGGGAUAACUCCGGGAAACCGGGGCUAAUACCGGAUGCUUGAUUGAACCGCAUGGUUCAAUCAUAAAAGGUGGCUUUUAGCUACCACUUACAGAUGGACCCGCGGCGCAUUAGCUAGUUGGUGAGGUAACGGCUCACCAAGGCGACGAUGCGUAGCCGACCUGAGAGGGUGAUCGGCCACACUGGGACUGAGACACGGCCCAGACUCCUACGGGAGGCAGCAGUAGGGAAUCUUCCGCAAUGGACGAAAGUCUGACGGAGCAACGCCGCGUGAGUGAUGAAGGUUUUCGGAUCGUAAAACUCUGUUGUUAGGGAAGAACAAGUACCGUUCGAAUAGGGCGGUACCUUGACGGUACCUAACCAGAAAGCCACGGCUAACUACGUGCCAGCAGCCGCGGUAAUACGUAGGUGGCAAGCGUUGUCCGGAAUUAUUGGGCGUAAAGCGCGCGCAGGCGGUUUCUUAAGUCUGAUGUGAAAGCCCCCGGCUCAACCGGGGAGGGUCAUUGGAAACUGGGGAACUUGAGUGCAGAAGAGGAGAGUGGAAUUCCACGUGUAGCGGUGAAAUGCGUAGAGAUGUGGAGGAACACCAGUGGCGAAGGCGACUCUCUGGUCUGUAACUGACGCUGAGGCGCGAAAGCGUGGGGAGCGAACAGGAUUAGAUACCCUGGUAGUCCACGCCGUAAACGAUGAGUGCUAAGUGUUAGAGGGUUUCCGCCCUUUAGUGCUGCAGCAAACGCAUUAAGCACUCCGCCUGGGGA